rnacentral:rRNA from 1 species
AUUGAACGCUGGCGGCAGGCCUAACACAUGCAAGUCGAGCGAGCGGAGGACGGGUGAGUAAUGUCUGGGAAACUGCCUGAUGGAGGGGGAUCACUACUGGAAACGGUUGCUAAUACCGCAUACCCUCAGAUGUGCCCAGAUGGGAGUAGCUAGUAGGGGGGGUAAUGGCUCACCUAGGCGACGAUCCCUAGCUGGUCUGAGAGGAUGACCAGCCACCCUGGAACUGAGACGCGGUCCAGACUCCGACGGGAGUCAGCAGUGGGGAGUAUUGCACUAUGGGCGCAAGCCUGAUGCAGCCAUGCCGCGUGUAUGAAGAAGGCCUUCGGGUUGUAAAGUACUUUCAGCGGGGAGGCGUUACCCGCAGAAGAAGCACCGGCUAACUCCGUGCCAGCAGCCGCGGUAAUUC